GACGUAGGGCGCGAGCGUUGUCCGGAUUUAUUGGGCGUAAAGAGCUCGUAGGCGGCUUGUCGCGUCGUUCGUGAAAACCCGGGGCUCAACUCCGGGCUUGCGGGCGAUACUAUGGGUCUAGAGCACGAAAGGGGAGAGUGGAACUUCUGGUGGAGCGGUGAAAUGCGCAGAUAUCAGGAGGAACACCGGUGGCGAAGGCGGGUCUCUGGGCCGAUACUGACGCUGAGGAGCGAAAGCGUGGGGAGCAAACAGG
rnacentral:rRNA from 1 species